GACGAACGCUGGCGGCGUGCCUAACACAUGCAAGUCGAGCGAGGAGAGUUCCUUCGGGAACAAACCUAGCGGCGGACGGGUGAGGUAACACGUGGGCAACCUGCCUUGUAGAGGGAAUAGCCUUCCGAAAGGAAGAUUAAUACCGCAUAACAUUACAGCUUCGCAUGAAACAGUAAUUAAAGGAGCAAUCCGUUACAAGAUGGGCCCGCGGCGCAUUAGCUAGUUGGUGAGGUAACGGCUCACCAAGGCGACGAUGCGUAGCCGACCUGAGAGGGUGAUCGGCCACAUUGGGACUGAGACACGGCCCAGACUCCUACGGGAGGCAGCAGUGGGGAAUAUUGCACAAUGGGGGAAACCCUGAUGCAGCAACGCCGCGUGAGUGAUGAAGGUUUUCGGAUCGUAAAGCUCUGUCUUCGGGGACGAUAAUGACGGUACCCGAGGAGGAAGCCACGGCUAACUACGUG
rnacentral:rRNA from 1 species